rnacentral:lncRNA from 10 species
AGUAAGAAAGAGAGUAGUUUAGACACUUAGAGAAAUGUCUUUGUUUGAAAAAAAGUGCACUAUGAAAGCGUCACGUGGUCUAGCCCCAUACUAGUUCUCUUUUUGGAGACCCAGGAUUCAGUGUGGGCUCUGCCCAGAGUUCACAGAUCCAGUUAAAAGACAGAGACUAAAUUUAGAACUACCUAUCUAAAUAAAAUUGGUUUCCUUAUACAAUUCUAUGAUAGAUUUCUGUAAUUUUAUGUUUGACUUGGCAUCCAUUUUUAAUCUCCCUGUAGUACCACCAGACUCUUUCUCUCUGUACCUUGAGAUAUAAAUUUCACUAUCUGAUUUUUCACAAGAGUUGGCCCUUUAAUAUGCAAAUUUAGGGCUAUGUAGCUGACAUCUGCCUGGAGUAAUAAAACAGGUUAUCAAGAAAUUGGAAGUCUAAAAUAGGAGGAAAAAAAAGAGGUGUUAUGAAUCUAUAAGAUCUAUUUCUAUGUGUCUAGUAUAUCUAUGUAUUUGUGUCACGUAUAUGUUUCACUACUAAAAAUACAUAAAAGCUCUAAUUAAUUGGCUUAAAGGAAAAAGUGCUUAAAUCAAACACUUUAUCAGAAAAAAAACAGACUUUGAGCCAAAUGCUUUUUCAAGUUUAUGUGACUUAAGUAAAUUUUUAAUAAAUAAGCUAGUUUUAAAAGUAUUCGUGAAAUGUAAUUAGAAAUGGCUUCAGAAUUGUCAACAUACAUUAUUGUUUAGAUUCAUUGGUAAAGUGGCUUAAUAUUUAUCUCUGCUAGAUGUAAAAAUUUGGCAUAAGGGCUAUAAAGUUAUGAAUCGUUAGCCUCUGUUAUCAUCACACACUGCUAAUGGAUGAUAGAAGAAAGGCAAGAAGCACCACCCUUGGAUUGCCCUUCCUCUUCGGAGACCAUGAGCUAAGAAUCACAGUCCCUGUCCCUACAGCCCGUGUGAGGAAUCACAGCAUGAUCCAGCACCACGGAAUGCAAUGCCAUGCACAACCAGAGCAUGGUUCUGGACUGAUGUCAGUGCAUGUCAGUACACACUCUCAGACACAGAUUCACAUUCCUUCUAGUCCUACACUGUCCAGACAGUGGCCACUAACCACUAGGCUAUUGGGUACUUGAAAUGUGGCUAGUCUGAACUGAGAUGUACUCUAAGGGUAAAACAGACAUCAGAACUUGAAGACUUAGGGCCAGGCGCAGUGGCUCAUGCUUGUAAUCCCAACACUUUGGGAGGCCGAGGUGGGUGGAUCACUUGAGGUCAGGAGUUCGAGACCAGCCUGAUCAACAUGGUAAAACUCCAUCUCUACUAAAAAUACAAAAAUUAGCCAGGUGUGGUGGCAUGCACCUGUAGUCCCAGCUACUUGGGAGGCUGAGGUAGGAGAAUCACUUGAACCCGGGAGGCAGAGGUUGCAGUGAGCUGAGAUCGAGCCACUGCACUCCAGCCUGGGCAACAAAGUGAGACUCCAUCUCAAAAAAAAAAAAAAAAAAAAAAAGAAAGAAAGAAAAGAAUUUAGAGACUUGGUAGAAAAGGAAAAUACCUCACUGAGAGUUUUUAAUAUUGAUUACCUGUUAAAAUGACAAUAUUUUGGAUAUAAUGGGUUAACUAAAUUUUUUUAAUGUUUCUAAAUGAGUUAACUAAACUAUGCUUUAAAAUUAAUUUCAUUUGUCUCUUUCAAACUUAAGAUGUCACUGCUAGAAAAUGUUUAAUGAGAUAUGUGGCUCAUGUUACAUUUCUAUUGAACAGUGAGAGCUGCUCUAGACCAUUGUGCAUGUACCCUAGAAGGCCUGGUUCUGGAGAGCCAGUUCCAGAUUUCAGUGAGCAUCAGAGCAACUCAUGCAACAGACUAGCUGUUCCCACUCUGGGGUCCCCAGAUUCUCAAGCAUGAAUGGUGAUCAGCAAGCCACACUCAAUAUAUUAAACUCUAUGUUCCUUUAUAAUUGGGCUAUUAGGCUAAUAUGUAAUAAAAAAUGGCUUGUUUGACAAAAACUUUGCAAAACAUGACAGGAAAAGAAAAAAAAUCAAUGGGUAAAUAGAAAAAGGAUGUAGUGAAGUAAUUCAUAAAGAGAAAAUGCAGGGGGCUAAAUAGACAUUUUCCUAUGCAAAAUUAAUAGAGAAAUUAAAAUCAAAACAUUUCUCAAGUAUUCAACUGAAUACACAAUUUACAUGUGAGAGGAGGGUAAAAGAAUAGUCGCUUAUGCCUUAGUCUUGCUUAGUGAAACAGUAGGGCAGAGGAAGCAAUCACAUGUAUUUCUCAGGUAAGCAGAGGGAUGAUUUUGAGUUGUGUCUGUCCUUUGUCCAUAAGGAAUUUCCUUGUGGGCAAAUUGUGAGGAAAGUAUAUAGUUUUUUGUUUUGUUCUUGUUUUGUUUUGUCUUUGUAGCUAUCUUAUUUAAGAAUAAAAUAGGAGGCGGGUUUGCCUGAUACAGUUUCCAGCUCGACUUUUCCCUUUGGCUUAGUGAUUUUGGGGUCCCAAGAUUUAUUUGCCAUUCACAAAAGCAAACAAAGUCUUGAUGUGUAGUUCUCCAACCACAGCUGUGUCUCUUCUGCAAAGACUUGGGAAACUCAUUUUUCUGUUGAUCUCAACCACUGGGUCGCAAUCUGGGAACUGCAGCUUAGAUACUAAGCAUUAGCAUGAAAUCCCAAAUCAUCCACAUUCCAUAUCAAAGGGCUGAGUCAGUCCUCUGAAGAGCCAGCUGCUUCUAAUCAGUAACAGUGACAUAUGCAACCUUCCAUAACUUGUAGCCAUCCAUAGCGAAAUAUUAACAAAUUUCUCAAGAUAUAAUAUAUAUUAGGCUUUUGCCUUUGUAAAAAAUAAUGCAGAGAAAAAAGACUGGAAGGAACUAUUACAAAAGGAAAAAAAGACCGGAAGGAGCUAUUACUGCAAGUGAUGGGACUAUGGAUUUUUCUUCUACUCUUGAUAGUUUUCUGUUCUUUACACAUUUUCUACAAUGAACAUGUAUGGCUACUUAAAAAAAUUUUAUUAUCUAAAUAAUACAUGUACAUUAUAGAAAAAUUAGAAAACAUGGAUAAACCAAAAAAUCAGCAUUGUUAUUUUAAUAUUCAGAAAAAAUGUAAACAAAAUGAAAUUUAAAAUGAGGUUAAAUAAUAUAGGGCUUCUUGGCUGUGAAGAGGUUCAAAUUUGAAUUCUGUUGACUCAAUAAAAAUACCGCUUAUUUAUAUAGAGCUUUGCAACUUACAGUAUUUUCUUAUAAUUUUCUAGUCCUUGAAGCAACAUAGUGAACAGAGGGUUUAACAAUGGUAUCUCUGGAUAAUAAGACUGAGGCAAUUUCUAUUUUCUUUCUUUUGGGGGGCGGAAUGGGAGUUAUCUGUAUUUCUAAAUUUUGUGCAAUGAAUAUGUUUUAUUUAUCGAACGAAGAAAAUCAGUUAUUAUGGCAAAAACCAUAAUUACUUUUGCACCAACCUAAUAGUUUUAGGGAAAAAAAAUCAGCUGUAACAUUUCACAGAUAAGGAAACUGAGGCUCUGAGAACUUAUGCAAUUUGCUACCGGAAGGAAGAGCCAGAACCCAAACCCCCUGAAAUUUUUUUUCCAAACUCAUGUAACUUCCCACCUGGACCCCUUUGGUCAUGUAGACACCUUAAAUCUCAUAACUGUUCAAAUGAAGACUCUACUCUUGGGUAAACUAAGAUCAAAAUCAUUGCUAUCCAGGGUGGCUACAGAUAACCCUCCUGUUUACAGAAGUCACUCAUUUAAUACAUUACAGCUGGAAUUGUUAGGUUUCCUGAGAAAGUAACCUGAACUUGACCCUAGCUUCUUGAAAUACCCAUGCUGCAGAGCCGUUUGUCAGGACACACAGGGCAUUUUAUUUCCUUCAUCCAGCCAUAAUUCGGCCUAAAUACCGGAGAAACUCCUGAGUUCCCAUGCUGGUAUUCAAAACACAUGUUUAGCUGGUGGAAUUUAAAUAAGGCUCCAUGGCCUCAUUUUCGUUAAGGGCAAUGCAUCAUUUUUAAUUCAACAGCCAUGGGUCUGGCUUACCUUUUCAUCCCACAAAGCAAUUCAUUUUCAUGAUUGCAUAAACUGCAAAUCAUAAUUCCCCAUUUUGGAAACACAUACUUACUCCCAAGAUUCUCCUCCCUCCUCCAGCCAUGUCCAACACAAAGUAAGACAGGACCAUCAAACCUUCUUUCUUGUAAUAUGGCACAUUCCAAACACAGAGCCCACUAGGAGUAAGGCCUGUGAUUUAGCAAAUAUCUUCAUGCUUGUUCAUGUUUAGACUGGACUUGCUGCACUGCUGGGCUGACAGGGUUCCCUGAGGACAGGCGUUAUCUUUAAUUUGCCAAAUGUACUCUUGGGCUGCCCCCACUUUACUUGUCCCUCCUCCCUGCACUGUCAGUGGGCAUGUACCCAGAGAAUGUCAGUGCCUCUGACUCUAUCCUCAAUGAAAAGAAAUCAGGUUUUCUGGGGGAAAAUGCAUAAUGCAUUUUUUUAAAGGAAAAUAGUGAUUUGGGGAAUAGGUCAUACCACAGGUUCCCUCACUUAAUGUAUGACACUGCAAGCCCCCUGCCCUGAUGAGAAAGAAGGUGGUGGUGAUGGCUGUCCUGGGACAAGGCAAGAAGUCUGCUUUACGACAGGAAAUCCACAGCUCCUCUGGCUUUGACAUCAUCUUAUAUUUUCAUCAACCUAGGAUGGGAGGGCUGGGCCAAACACUACCAUGUCAUGCUUUUAUAAAAUAUCUAUCUACAUACCAAAAAAUCAAAUUAACGUACUCAUAGAUGAACAAAAUAUUAAUAAACAGUUACCACUCUUCUCUCCACUUCCCGGAAGCUAGUAAAUCAAAUCCCCUAUGCUGAACAGACAAGAUUGAGCCAAGAUAAAGGCCAAAAAGGCAAUGUACAGGCUGAGAGAGUAGAAACAGAGCCUUAAGUGUUCUUUUCAUUGACAGGAGUCAUUCUUAGUCUUUUUCCAAAUGGAUACUGCCUAAAACAUACAAAUUAGUCUUAAGUUAGUAUUCAUCAUCUUCCAUAAUGGAAACAUUCUAAUAAAAAUAUCUAAAGAAAACCCACAACCCUCACCCUAGGAAUGAAAGCACCUCCAAAUGAAAGCAAACCAAAAGACAGACGAAAGCCCACACCCACAGCUGUCAGCCCCAUUAAGUCUGGUCUGUGACAGUCUUCCCAGAUAUCUGAAGAAAAAGAGGUAUCCAGACAGCUUUCUUCCUAGAGUCUAGAAUACUUCACCAGAAUUCUGGUCCUGUUGAAAAAAACAGAAGGUGGGCAGAGCACAGGCUGGACAUCACAUGUGAUAUAUUCUAUAA